rnacentral:rRNA from 1 species
CCUACGGGGGGCAGCAGUGAGGAAUAUUGGUCAAUGGACGAGAGUCUGAACCAGCCACGUAGCGUGAAGGAUGACUGCCCUAUGGGUUGUAAACUUCUUUUAUAAAGGAAUAAAACGAGGCACGUGUGCCUUUUUGCAUGUACUUUAUGAAUAAGGAUCGGCUAACUCCGUGCCAGCCGCCGCGGUAAUACGGAGGAUCCGAGCGUUAUCCGGAUUUAUUGGGUUUAAAGGGAGCGUAGAUGGGUUGUUAAGUCAGUUGUGAAAGUUUGCGGCUCAACCGUAAAAUUGCAAUUGAUACUGGCAGUCUUGAGUACAGUUGAGGUAAGCGGAAUUCGUGGUGUAGCGGUGAAAUGCUUAGAUAUCACGAAGAACCCCGAUUGCGAAGGCAGCUUACUAAACUGUGACUGACAUUGAUGCUCGAAAGUGUGGGUAUCAAACAGGAUUAGAUACCCCUGUAGUC